GACGAACGCUGGCGGCGUGCUUAACACAUGCAAGUCGAACGGAAAGGCCCUGCUUUUGUGGGGUGCUCGAGUGGCGAACGGGUGAGUAACACGUGAGUAACCUGCCCUUGACUUUGGGAUAACUUCAGGAAACUGGGGCUAAUACCGGAUAGGAGCUCCUGCUGCAUGGUGGGGGUUGGAAAGUUUCGGCGGUUGGGGAUGGACUCGCGGCUUAUCAGCUUGUUGGUGGGGUAGUGGCUUACCAAGGCUUUGACGGGUAGCCGGCCUGAGAGGGUGACCGGCCACAUUAGGACUGAGAUACGGCCCAGACUCCUACGGGAGGCAGCAGUGGGGAAUAUUGCACAAUGGGCGGAAGCCUGAUGCAGCAACGCCGCGUGCGGGAUGACGGCCUUCGGGUUGUAAACCGCUUUCGCCUGUGACGAAGCGUGAGUGACGGUAAUGGGUAAAGAAGCACCGGCUAACUAUGUG
rnacentral:rRNA from 1 species